rnacentral:rRNA from 1 species
CAGACGAUGCGUCAUGCAUAUCAAUAAGCGGAGGAAAAGAAACUAACAAGGAUUCCCUCAGUAACGGCGAGUGAAGCGGGAAGAGCUCAAAUUUGAAAUCUUGAAAGGUCACCUUUCACGAAUUGUAGUUUAAAGAAGUGUUUUCUGUUACGAUCGUAAUAUAAGUUCUUUGGAAUAGGACAUCACAGAGGGUGAGAAUCCCGUCUAUGAUUGCGAUUUGUAGCUUUGUGAUACACUUUCAAAGAGUCGGGUUGUUUGGGAAUGCAGCCCAAAACGGGAGGUAAAUUUCUUCUAAGGCUAAAUAUUGGCGAGAGACCGAUAGCGAACAAGUACCGUGAGGGAAAGAUGAAAAGAACUUUGAAAGGAGAGUUAAAUAGUACGUGAAAUUGUCAAAAGGGAAGCGUUUAACACCAGUGUUGUUUUCUGAAAAUCAACCUCUGUUAGCUUUAUGCAUGUUUGUUUAGACCUAAUCAGCUAUCUUGCAUGUUCUAUUGUUUGCAGUGGUGCACUUUUCAGUUUACAGGUCAACAUCAGUUUUUUUUACCGUAAAAAAGUUAAAGAAAGGUAGCUCAUGGCUCCGGUCGUGAGUGUUAUAGUCUUUUUCCUAUGCGGUAGGAGAGACUGAGGUCUGCAGUGUAGGCUAUUUGGCUAGAUACUCAGGUGCUAUGUGAUACCAUUUCAUAAACAACUUGUUGAUUAUGUUUUGUCUAUUGCAUACUCGCUUGUACUAUCAUACCUACGCUUAGGAUGUUGAAGACUCUACAGAGAUA